rnacentral:rRNA from 1 species
GACGAACGCUGGCGGCGUGCUUAACACAUGCAAGUCGAACGGAAAGGCCCUGCUUUUGUGGGGUGCUCGAGUGGCGAACGGGUGAGUAACACGUGAGUAACCUGCCCUUGACUUUGGGAUAACUUCAGGAAACUGGGGCUAAUACCGGAUAGGAGCUCCUGCUGCAUGGUGGGGGUUGGAAAGUUUCGGCGGUUGGGGAUGGACUCGCGGCUUAUCAGCUUGUUGGUGGGGUAGUGGCUUACCAAGGCUUUGACGGGUAGCCGGCCUGAGAGGGUGACCGGCCACAUUGGGACUGAGAUACGGCCCAGACUCCUACGGGGGGCAGCAGUGGGGAAUAUUGCACAAUGGGCGGAAGCCUGAUGCAGCAACGCCGCGUGCGGGAUGACGGCUUUCGGGUUGUAAACCGCUUUCGCCUGUGACGAAGCGUGAGUGACGGUAAUGGGUAAAGAAGCACCGGCUAACUACGUG